rnacentral:lncRNA from 1 species
GAAGUCAACUGUUAGCUGUUCGAAGUUAGAGCAACUUGUGCAUAAAAAUUAACAAUUAUAACUACAUCAGUAGUUAUAAUUAUAAGUGUUGUUUUAUGCUAAUUUUUUGCAUUUUCAAAAACAGUAGUUCAACGUUCAAACAUCAAUAGCGCAGACUGCGCAGUCAAUAUUGCAUUAACUUCAAGUGCUAUAUAUCAAAAUCGAAGUUAGUCAUUUCUGAAUGCAUUAUCGCUUUUAUAGCUUUUAUGUUACAUGAAAUCAAAUAGUUUCCAGUUUUAUUGGGGGACACCCGGUAUUUUAAGGUAGAUUUGCAUUUCGCAACUUGUGGGGCGAUCGACAUUUUGCGACCAUUUUUGUUUUGAAAUGUGUGCAGUCUAAUGAAAUCGUUCUAUAUAAUGAAGACUUGAAUGGUUGUGAAAGUGCAUAUUUCCACCGUUGAGAAUUGGGUCUAAAACUAUUGAAAAUUAACUCCCUUUACUCUUUAGGACUUAAGUUGAUGAAUUGAACUUCAAUAAAAUACCUGCGUAUGCAUAAUUAUCAUAAACGUCUUGUAAACCAGCCCUGAGCUCAUUUUUAAAAUGACACGUUCGUGAUUAUAAAUUGCUAAUCAAAAUCUAAGUUAGCCAUUAUGAAUGCAAUGAUCUUUAUUUCAUUGCGAAUCUGCGAUAGCUUUUAUAGCUUUUACGUUACAUGAAAUCAAACAGAGUCCGGUGUUUUUUGGGAUACCAGUAUACAAUUUGAUAAUAUUUUAAGAUUGACCUUUACGGCAGAAAAGGUCGAUCUUUAUUCCUUUAUUAGCUAAAAGUAGCUAAAUCAUAGUCCAAUUUUUAUGCACAAGUUGCUCCAACUUCGAACAGCUAACAGUUGACUUCAAAUUACGAUUUGAAGUUUGC